rnacentral:rRNA from 2 species
AAACUUCUUUAUCACCGAGUGCUUGCACUCACCGAUAAAGAGUUGAGUGGCGAACGGGUGAGUAACACGUGGGCAACCUGCCCAAAAGAGGGGGAUAACACUUGGAAACAGGUGCUAAUACCGCAUAACCAUAGUUACCGCAUGGUAACUAUGUAAAAGGUGGCUAUGCUACCGCUUUUGGAUGGGCCCGCGGCGCAUUAGCUAGUUGGUGAGGUAAAGGCUUACCAAGGCAAUGAUGCGUAGCCGAACUGAGAGGUUGAUCGGCCACAUUGGGACUGAGACACGGCCCAAACUCCUACGGGAGGCAGCAGUAGGGAAUCUUCCACAAUGGGCGAAAGCCUGAUGGAGCAACGCCGCGUGGGUGAAGAAGGUCUUCGGAUCGUAAAACCCUGUUGUUAGAGAAGAAAGUGC